rnacentral:rRNA from 1 species
AUGGCUCACUACAAAGAUGAUAUCAAGUAUGAAGAGGGCUUCACCCUGAAUUCACGAGGCAGCAGGCUCUUCACCUGCAAAUGGACGCCCAAGAAACAACAGCGCAAGGCUCUGAUCUUCAUCUGCCAUGGUUAUGGAGGAGAGUGCAGCAUAUCGAUGGCAGACACCGCCGCGCGACUGGUGCACGCCGGCUACGCCGUCCACGGGAUAGACCAAGAGGGCCACGGCAAGUCCUCCGGCUCCAAGGGCUACAUAUCGAGCUUCGGCGACAUCGUCAAGGACUGCUCCGACUACUUCAAGAGCGUCUGCGAGAAGCCGGAGAACAAGACGAAGAAGAGGUUCCUCUACGGCUUCUCCAUGGGAGGCACCGUGGCGCUUCAGGUCCACAGGAAGGACUCCAUGUACUGGGACGGCGCCGUCUUGCUCGCUCCCAUGGUCAAGCUUGGUGAUGGCAUGCGGCCUCAUCCGGUGGUGGUGAGCGCUCUCAAGAUGAUCUGCGCCGUCGUGCCUAGCUGGAGGGUCAUCCCUGCUCCAGAUCAGCUCGACAAAGUCUGCAAAGAUCCCCAGUUCAAGAAAGAGAUUCGUUCCAACCCAUACAUGUACAAGGGAAACCUCGCGCUGCAGACAGGCCACGAACUCCUCGCGGUCAGCUUAGACAUUGAGAAGAACAUGCACGAGGUCACUUUGCCGUUCUUGGUGCUGCAAGGGGAGGACGACGUGGUGGCCGAUCCUGAGGGGAGCAGGCUGCUACACGAGCGGGCAUCGAGCAGGGACAAGACCUUGAAGCUGUACCCCGGGAUGUGGCACGUUCUCAUGGCUGAGCCGCCGGCCGACGUGGAGCGGAUCUUCACAGAUGUGAUUUCGUGGCUCGAGGAGAGGGCGGCGAGCACCGUCAAGUGA